GCUUGAUCAUGGCUCAGAUUGAACGCUGGCGGCAGGCCUAACACAUGCAAGNCGAGCGGUAGCACAAGGAGCUUGCUCCUGGGCGACGAGCGGCGGACGGGNGAGUAAUGNUCUGGGAAACUGCCCGAUGGAGGGGGAUAACUACUGGAAACGGUAGCUAAUACCGCAUAACGUCUUCGGACCAAAGUGGGGGACCUUCGGGCCUCACACCAUCGGAUGUGCCCAGAUGGGAUUAGCUAGUAGGUGAGGUAAUGGCUCACCUAGGCGACGAUCCCUAGCUGGUCUGAGAGGAUGACCAGCCACACUGGAACUGAGACACGGUCCAGACUCCUACGGGAGGCAGCAGUGGGGAAUAUUGCACAAUGGGCGCAAGCCUGAUGCAGCCAUGCCGCGUGUGUGAAGAAGGCCUUCGGGUUGUAAAGCACUUUCAGCGAGGAGGAAGGGUUCAGUGUU
rnacentral:rRNA from 1 species